rnacentral:lncRNA from 1 species
CAAAUCCUUGCCCUUAAUACCCUUAUACUAGCCAGAAGGCAUUCGAAUAGGAAUUGACUCAAUGAAGCGGGGAGCCGGUGGCGUAACUCAGUUCCUCUGGCUGUCUCUCUCCGCUCAGGCUCGGAAGAUUUGCCUUCUGCAACCAUUCUUUCCGCGGAGCUGAGCUGGAGCCAGAAGAACGUUUUAUCUGAGAGGAGAAUCAGAAAGACUGCGGGAGGCUCUGAUCAGCUUUCCAGGGCCAUGGAAACAGCCCGAGUCCAUCAUCCUCCCAGGAGGCAGCUGUGCGUGGCCGUUCAGCCAGGAGACACUGAGCCGGGGCCGGGAGAAAGAGGAGGAGACCCGGGCAAUCUGGCUUCAGCCCGAUACAGCCAAGCUGAAAACGCGCAGCACUGCCCUCCGCGAGCGACUCGGGGUCACGAGGCGAGAGACACGCCAAAAAGAGCGGAAUGCCUGUCAUAGAGCCCAACGCAACCGGAGCACACACGAAUGUCUGCGUACAUGUAUCUGCAUUUGUAUGGUAAAUUCCACUCCAGGAAAAUCCUUGGGAAACCAUUCCUAUCCGGGAGAUGAGAAGAAUGCCAACCACCCUAGUCACCCACACAACCAUCAUCUGCAGCUCUUGGGGAAUGGGCACGUUGUUUCCUGGCCUAUCCUUUGUCCUGGAUCUCAGU